rnacentral:rRNA from 1 species
AGCGAACGCUGGCGGCAGGCCUAACACAUGCAAGUCGAACGAACCUUUCGGGGUUAGUGGCGGACGGGUGAGUAACACGUGGGAACGUGCCUUUAGGUUCGGAAUAACUCAGGGAAACUUGUGCUAAUACCGAAUGUGCCCUUCGGGGGAAAGAUUAAUCGCCUUUAGAGCGGCCCGCGUCUGAUUAGCUAGUUGGUUGAGGUAAUGGUUCACCAAGGCGACGAUCAGUAGCUGGUCUGAGAGGAUGGUCAGCCACAUUGGGACUGGGACACAGCCCAAACUCCUACGGGAGGCAGCAGUGGGGAAUCUUGCACAAUGGGCGAAAGCCUGACGCAGCCAUGCCGCGUGAAUGAUGAAGGUCUUAAGAUUGUAAAAUUCUUUCACCGGGGACGAUAAUGACGGUACCCGGAGAAGAAGCCCCGGCUAACUUCGUG